AACGAACGCUGGCGGCAGGCUUAACACAUGCAAGUCGAGCGAAGACUUCGGUCUUAGCGGCGGACGGGUGAGUAACGCGUGGGAAUCUACCCAUCUCUACGGAACAACUCCGGGAAACUGGAGCUAAUACCGUAUACGCCCUUCGGGAGAAAGAUUUAUCGGAGAUGGAUGAGCCCGCGUUGGAUUAGCUAGUUGGUGGGGUAAUGGCCUACCAAGGCGACGAUCCAUAGCUGGUCUGAGAGGAUGAUCAGCCACACUGGGACUGAGACACGGCCCAAACUCCUACGGGAGGCAGCAGUGGGGAAUAUUGGACAAUGGGCGAAAGCCUGAUCCAGCCAUGCCGCGUGAGUGAUGAAGGCCCUAGGGUUGUAAAGCUCUUUCAGCUGGGAAGAUAAUGACGGUACCAGCAGAAGAAGCCCCGGCUAACUCCGUGCCAGCCGCCGCAGUAAUAC
rnacentral:rRNA from 1 species